GUGUCCCUUCUGAGUGCUCCUACCUAGAGUUAAGGGAUACCUGAGGGUAAGCAACCGAGUGACGAAACAAAGAAGGCGGGGCCUGAGGACAGAACGCCAAGGUUAGGGGAAUGGAGCCAGGCAAACGAGGGGCGGGGCUGUAGAUGACCCGGCCGGGAGAGGGCCACGGUUUGUUGGGGGAGCGGCUCGAGACUGCGCUCUAGAGAGGAACCAGAGAGAGGGUCUUUAACCUAAAUAUAAAUGAAUGACUGGAUUCCUGAAGAAUCCGGAAUGGCUUGUUGAUUGGAUAGAUGGAUGGAUGGAUGGACGGACGGACGGACCGAUGGAUGGAAAUCUGGCUAUCACUGACGCCUGAGCUCCCCACCCUCUUGGGCCCUCCACCUCCGGAGCCCUCACUCGCUUGUGACAGCUGUACGAGAAACACAUGCCUCUCCUAGGAGCAAACCCUCAACCCAAACAGGCAGCACAGAGCCAGUCCAGCACCUCACACUGGAGGCACUCAGGGUGGAGCCUAGGUCGAUGAGACGGCGUAGGAUGAGGCUUUUUGGCCCAGCUGGGAACCACUUCUUCCCAGAUUUCCCGUCCAGAGUCUAACUUUCCUUUCUCCCAGCGCCAUCUUUUCUGCUAGUUUGCCCAGCUCCUCAGGGUGCCUGGACUUUCAGGCCUCACCUUGUGUCCAGUGUAGCAGGGUCCAGCGCCCCAGCAACUGGGAAGGUCUGCAUCUCUGCUGAUCAUCCCCUGGAACUGCUGGAACUUUGCCGUAUAGGAGCCGUCCAAAAGGCAAAGUAUGGCUCUGAGAAGACAUGAGUCCUUGGCACCUGGCCCUCCGUCCCUGGCAGGGCCUGUGUUUGUUGAACUGCAAAAAGGCUGUGAGGACAGAGACUUGAUGACAUGGCAAGGUGGGUGUGCAGGGUUUGCUGCAUAAGACGUGGGGAGCAGGCCCUUCCUCACUCUUCACCAAGAUAACAAGAGGUGAGCAAUGAAAAUUGGGGGUACUACUAGUAACACCAUGCAGGUUGAACCUGGAAACCAGCAGAAGCACUGGGUAGGUGAAAUCGGAUCCUAGAAAGCUCAUGAGCCGUAAGCAGGAGGGGGCAACCAUGGGUUCCUGGGGUGGUUGUAUGCAGGAAGAACUGAAGAAGGAGGCGGGAGGGGCCAGGGAGGCUGCACAGUUGUGAUAACAGUAGGCACAUCAGGGACCGGGGAGGUUUGGGGACCUGCUGCCUGAGGAUAGCUCAGGUUAGGGGCUGAAGGCCUAGGGGGACACAGAGAUGGGAAGGGUUAGAUUAGCUAGAUUGUCUAGAUUGUCUAGAGUUAGGGUUUCCCAAAGCCCAGCUCUUUGGGGCCUCUGCUCUCCCCACUACCUGCCCCUGGCUCCCUGGACACUUGAGAAAUUAUACAAUUAGCCAGAUAGUAGAAAAAAUACCUUUUUAUUAAUUAUUAGGAAUAAUCCAUUCAUGUAAUGCAGGAUGUAUGUUGGAGAAGGUUAAGUACAGCCACAUGAAUGAGGGGAAACGUGCAAGAGGAACAGUGGUGAGAAGGGGGAUGGUCCCCCACUUUCCACAAACUAUAAACAGCAACAUGAACACAGAGAAUCACAAAUAAGAGGGUCUUUCCUCAUGUCUCCUCUCACCCCAUUCUUCCAUAAUGAGUCCCAGUUGGUCCCUAGAGGUGCCAGGGCAUCUGGAAGUUCUGGGCUGGGAGUGGGGUGCAGUGAGUGGCCUCAAAGUUGUGCAGAUGCUUCCGAGCCUGAGGAAAGGAGGUGGGACAGGUGGGGUACAGAGCACUGUUGGGAGGGGCAGCCACUGGACUCCCUCCCCACCCUCCGCUUCCACAUCCACCACCCACUCUACAAAAGCUGCCACUUCCAAUGCUUACAGGGUAUCCCCAGUCCCCCUGUGUGAGCCCUGGCCAUUCAAGAACCCUUCCCACUUCCCACUCCUUAGCUCACCAGAAACAAAGCCAGCUGCCGCCGUCCAUCUGCACUCAUGUCCUCCCCUGCAGAGAGGAGGCGCUCAAAAUAGGCCACACAUCUGGGUAUUCAUCCCCUUCCUAGGCCCUUCCCACCCUCUCUCCUGCCCCAGGAGCUCCUUACCCACGCUCCAGGGGAAGUCGGACCCGUGUUCUGCCUGGUAGGAGCGGAGGACAGACAGACACCAGUCCUCUUCCACCUCCCAUCGGCUAUAAAUUGAGGCUGGUCAGGGAGAGAGAUGACAGCCAGUCAGCAACCUGACCUUGCUGGGCCCCCGCCCCAAGCCUCACUGGAUCCCUUCUCACCUUCCUCCAGCUGUGAGGAGGCCUCCAACCACUGCCUCACCACUCGAAGACCCUCCUCUGCCAUCACCCGGGGAUACCUACGGAGGAAGUGCCAGGACAGGUCAGGGCUGAUUUUUUUUCAUUCACCAUCCCUGAACCUUCCUCCCUCCUUCCCUGUGCUGGUAUCAGUAUCUGUGUGUGUACACUGCCCCCAGCGCGCACACACCCUGGCUCUCACCGAUGCUGCAGGAGCUUCAGCAGGAGGUCAUUGCCUCGGUUGGACAUGAUGUCCUCAGGAACCCUGGGGGUUAGAAGAAUGUACCCUGGAGGGGCUGGAGGUUAGGAGAAAGGGUCUAGAUACCCAGGUUUCUGGUGGGCAGAGGUAGAAGGGACAAGUUCCUGGCCAUCUCUGGGGUUCCUGAGGGCCGAGAUUCCCACGUACUCACGUGGUGGUGAUGAUCUCAUCCUUGGUUCUCCGGAUCAGCAGUACAGGACCCUGGUAUCUUCAGAGAACAGAGCAGUGGGAAGGGAGAGCUCAGAGGGAGACGGGUGACAACUGGCCCACCCCCAUCCCUGCACUGGUAGCAUUCUUACCCUCCCCUUGCUACAGCACAGCCCUUGACCUAGCCCUUCACUCAGGGGUGAGAGGGGAUUAUUUAAGGGGCAUGGUUCAGUCUGGCCCUACUGGGAGACCCCUGCUGUGCCAGGCCUUAACCCUUUGGUUGCCAGAUCCUGAGGUGGUCCAGAGUCCCAGGGGACCUGGGAGGGGUUACGCCAGUUGAGGUGGUGGCAGGGUCACUCAGGAUGUGAGCCAGUGGCCUUUUAGCAACUUGCACUUUAGUACUAGUUUCAGGGUUUGAGCGCCCAGCAGAGCUGUAUGGGGGGCAGGUGUUCAAUGCCGGACGCUGGCCGGCCCUCACCUGCACAGCUGCUCCGCGUUGUUUAGAUUGAGAUGCUGCCUCACGGUCCUGGUCACCAGGCCCCCUAGAGUGGGAUAAAGGUGAAGGGAUGGCAGAGACAAAGCCCUUGCCCAACAUAAAGGUCCUCACUAUUCACGGAGAAAGAAAACUGAGGCCCCCGGACAAAGGAGUCCUCCUGCUUCCAACAAUGGGGCGACUUACUCCCCACCCAAGAAAAGGGAGCCAUCUCAGAACAGUUCCCAGUUCCAGCCCACCCCUUCCCAGGAAGGGCAGGCCUGGGAGCUGCACUCACUCCAGCUGUCUGGCAUGACCUUCAAGGCCAAGGGCACCAGGUCAUCAAAGGAGGCAUCCAGGAUCAUGGCACUAACAUCUGGGUAGGACAUGGCCGCCCACGUGGCUGGUACCAGGGCAGGGAAGAAGAGUAAGAACUGAGAAAGGCUCCUUUCUCCCCACCACCCAUGCUCUCAUCCCACUGACCCUAUAGGCCAACCCCAUUCCCCCUAUGUUAUCCCUUGUUUUUUUCUUAACCUACUUCACUUGGUUAGGGAACUAUCUGGAGAGGAUGGGGAUAGAACACUGGAGAUAGCGCACUGAAGAUAAUGGGCAGGAAACAUUCACUUUCCCUGAUCUCCCCACCCAGGACCUGGGUCUGCUUUUCCUUUUAAUGACUGGGCACAAGGGGGGAAGGAAAGGUGAAGUGUAUGCAAAUAGGAUAGCUUCUUCCAGGCCCACUCAGAGAUUCUACUUCCUCUCUCUUCUUCCUUGAGCCUCCACCCCACCCCAUUUCCCCACCUCUCCCGGGUGGGGCUGGGUGGUCAUGAAUGUGUCUACAAUGGGGGAUGGGAGGGAGGCUGGUACCAGUGAAGCCACCGAUGGACCAGGCGUAGAUGAUGAUGUCCUGGGGCUGGAAGCCCAGGCGGUGGAUGGCAAACUGGACCACCACAUCCAUGGCAUUAGCCUCAUUCUGCGGGAAUGGCACCCCCUGCAGGAGGAAGGGCAAAGUCAGGAGUGUGUCAGCACCAAAGGCCAGCUCACCUGUCCCUCCCAACGUGGACCCCUCCUGCAGCCACCUAUGACAGGCAGAGAAGGUGUAGAAGGAAGGGAUGGUAGGAGAGGUUGUUCUCUCCAGAAGAAGACGGAUGUGUACAAUGAGAUCUACCUCCUCCUCUCCUGCUAGCCCCCCGCUGUGGGGAUGGGGGCAUGGCUCCCAAUGCUGCCUUCACAACCUCCUAGACCCCAGCCCUCAGCUCCAGUCUUACGGUCAGAUAAACUGUAAUGCCAUGGCACCCCAAGCUGAAACCCACGAAUGCUGGGAUUUGCAUGAACUCUCAUAACAGAUGGGCAGAGCCAGGACUAGAACCCAGCUCCCUAGACUCCUGGCUUAGCGCUCUUUCCACGGCUGCUUCAUGGAGGUAGGAGACUUUGAGGCCAGGCUGCCUGGGUCCAAAUACCAGCUCUACCACUUACUGUGAGGUCCAGGAAAGGUUUUCUGUGCCCCAGUUUCAUCUCCUGUAAAAUGGGCUAAUAUAAGCAGUACCUAUCUCACGGGAUUGUGUUGAGAAUUAAAUAUAUAUGCUUCAGAUAUAUAUAUGAGAAUUAAAUAUAUAUAAGUGUGAAGUGCUGUCAAAGUGGUAACUAUUAAUAUUAGUUUCUCGUCCUUGAACGUCUCUCCUACUUCAUCUGUUUCUCUAUCACAGGGUUUCACUACAUCACAAGGUCUUUAGCGUGGAGCUAGGACAUGAGAUUAUCCCCAGCAGUGGUUCCUUCAGGGAGGUGCUAUAGCAUUGGGGUCCCCAGACCUCUACUGCCUUCCUCACACUCACCCCACCUCUGGGCUCUCUGCUCCCUCUUACC